rnacentral:rRNA from 1 species
AGAGUUUGAUCAUGGCUCAGAUUGAACGCUGGCGGCAUGCCUAACACAUGCAAGUCGCGCGCGAAAGGGAGCAAUCCCAAGUAGAGCGGCGGACGGGUGCGUAAUACGUAGGAAUCUACCUCGUAGUGGGGGACAACCCGGCGAAAGCCGGGCUAAUACCGCAUACGACCUAUGGGUGAAAGCGGGGGAUCGCAAGACCUCGCGCUAUGAGAUGAGCCUGCGUCGGAUUAGCUAGUUGGUGAGGUAAAGGCUCACCAAGGCGACGAUCCGUAGCUGGUCUGAGAGGACGACCAGCCACACUGGGACUGAGACACGGCCCAGACUCCUACGGGAGGCAGCAGUGGGGAAUAUUGGACAAUGGGGGCAACCCUGAUCCAGCAAUGCCGCGUGUGUGAAGAAGGCCUUCGGGUUGUAAAGCACUUUCGGUGGGGACAAACAAGGUGGCGCUAACAUCGCCGCCUCUGAUGGUACCCAAAGAAGAAGCACCGGCUAGCUCUGUGCCAGCAGCCGCGGUAAUACAGAGGGUGCAAGCGUUAAUCGGAAUUACUGGGCGUAAAGCGUACGUAGGUGGUUUGUUAAGUCAGGUGUGAAAUCCUUGGGCUCAACCUGAGAAUUGCACUUGAAACUGGCGAACUAGAGUGUGGUAGAGGGUAGUGGAACUCCCGGUGUAGCGGUGAAAUGCGUAGAUAUCGGGAAGAACACCAGUGGCGAAGGCGGCUACCUGGACCAACACUGACACUGAGGUACGAAAGCGUGGGGAGCAAACAGGAUUAGAUACCCCCGUAGUCC